UGGACGCAUCACUGGUGUUCGGGUUGUCAUGCCAAUGGCACUGCCCGGUAGCUAAAUGCGGAAGAGAUAAGUGCUGAAAGCAUCUAAGCACGAAACUUGCCCCGAGAUGAGUUCUCCCUGACUCCUUGAGAGUCCUGAAGGAACGUUGAAGACGACGACGUUGAUAGGCCGGGUGUGUAAGCGCAGCGAUGCGUUGAGCUAACCGGUACUAAUGAACCGUGAGGCUUAACCUU
rnacentral:rRNA from 1 species